GGUAGUGGGCAGCAGGAGGUCACAGUGGCCAGAGGUCACAGCAGAGGGAGGUCAUGGGAGCAGGAAGUUAUGGCGCUGCUGCCAGCAUUUUCAGUGGGCUUCCCCAACUCAGGUAACUGAAUGUGACCAAGGGCUACGUCCUGCUUCAGCCACCCCAGCUUCUUUCCAGUGGGAUGUCUGCCUGAACCAAACCCUGAAAUAAACUCUUCUUCCCCUAAACUGCUUCUUGUCAGCAUUUGGUCACAGGGAACAGGGAAGUGACUAAUGGCAACAGUGGGCAGGGAAGGGAUCUGGGGCAGAGCUGGUGGCCUGAGGUUGGUCUGAGAGGCCCAGGCUACAAACAGUGGAAUCAUCAGAGGGCGGAGCCUGAGGCAGGGGUACCAGUAUACAUGUUUUUUUUUUUUUCCCAUACAGGGAUGUGUGUGGGCACAUGUACACCACGGCAAGCAUGUGAAGGGUCAAAGGACAGCCUUGGGUGUAGGGCUCAAUGGCUACCUUGUUCACUGUUAUGUACUCCAGGCUAGCUGGCCCAGGAUUCUUCUACCUUUGCCUUCUUUCUCACUGAGGGAGUGCUGGGGUUAUAGCGUGACUGUGGGUUUGAACUCAGGUCCUCAUCAUUGUGAGACAAAUAUGUGACCCUCUGACCAUCUCCCUAGCCCCACAGAUGGUUUCUUAUGGGGUGCUCUCAAGGACCCCUGUGACUGCCUCUUUCAAGCACUCGUUGACAACUUUUAACAGCUAGUGACUUCUACAGAGGACAGUUCUCCUGAGGAGAAGUCGCGGGUCUGCCAUAGCCAGCAUGCCCAGGGUUCUGAGGUUGUGUGAGGGACUGGGAAAUCCACUAUUGAGUCCCUAGCAUGUCAGGAACAUGUGAAGCCAUCAGGUGAUGUAGAGAUGUGCAUGAUGAAAGGCUGCCAUGGGGAGCUGAGGGCAGAACCCAGGGCUCUCUAGGACAUGGGGAAAAGCUUGAGGAGCUAGCCUUGGGCCACAGAGGGCCAGGAGGAUGGGGGUCCAGAAACCUGAGACAUCUUUAACUUGUGACUACUUGUUCAGUUGGGACCCUGUGUAGGAAGAAGCAGGCACAACAUUUGGGAGAUGAUGUCCCAUUAUGGACUGAACACAAUAAAUCUUCGUAUUAUGGGGAUUCAUUGAGGAAACCCACACAUGCAGGGGUAAUGGUAGCUCAGGUGGUAAAACACUUGCCUUGCUGGGAGCUUGAGUUCCAGCCCCCAGAACCCAUCUUGAAACACCAACAGCUGGCAAGAUAGCUCAGUGGGUAGAGGUGGCGGACACUAAGCCUGACAACCUGGGUUCAGUUCCCCAGACACUCGUGGUUCCAACGGACUGUUGCAGGUCACCCUCUGACCCUCAGCUGCCUCUCCCCUCCCUCAGAAAAAACCUGAGCAAUGGCUGCCGGCUGGAAACGAGCUGGAAGACCAGUCUAGCUUACUUGAUGACUGUCAGGCCAGUGAGAGACCCUGUCUCAAAAAAUAGGACCUGAGGAAUGACACUUGAUGCUGUUCUUUGAUAGAUACACACUCAAGACGCGCACGCGCGCGCGGAGGUUGGAAGUGGAAGGCUGUCUUUUUUUUUUUUUUUUAAGAUUUAUUUACUUUUAUGUGUAUGAGUGUUUUGCCUCCAUGUCUGUCUGUCUGUGUGCAAUGUGCAUAUCUAGUACCUGAGGAAGACAGAAGAUGCCCCGGAACUUGAAUUACCACAUGGGUGCUGGGACUAGAACUUGGAAAAGCAGCCAGUGCUCUUGACUGCUGAGCCAUUUUUCUUUCCAGUCCUGAAGAAUUGCCUUGAUUAUUUUAAUUGAUGUGGUUGGGUCCAAUCCACUAUGGGUGGAGCCAUUUCCUGGACUGGUGGUCCUGAGCUGUAUAAAAGCUAAUUGAGCCUGAGCCUGUGAGCCCGAAAAGCAGCACUCCUCGGUGAUUCCUGUCUUGGGAAGGUGGGUGGGUGGGGGUUUGCUUGAGUUCUCGCCCUGACUUGCAUCAAUAGACUGUAAACUGUAAGUUGAAAUAACCUUU